UCACUAGCCAUACUCUUCGGGUGAGAGCCUUCUACCAAUAACCAAAUAGUCGUCUGCAGUCUCGUCUAAUCGUCUGACGAUUUUUGACGCGUGCCAAAUACCACUGGUGAUGUGAAAACUCUUUAAGGAGUGCCUUUCCUCGUGGUUCUUUUCGAAGAGCAUGUUUAUUGUUUCGUAGCUCAUACAAGUCCGUCACAAUUUUGUUUUCUUUUUCAAAUGCGAUCUUCGUAAGACUGGCCAAUAUGGUGUUUCGUUGCUGGAAAUAUUCUGUUCCAAAACAGCACGGAGCACGUGUCUUGCUCGUUGGAGAUAACAGAGGUUCCUGUUUGGAUUUUUGGGAAUAAGGCAGGUUUAACCAAUGAGGACUGAUGAAUGGAAGAGCUAAGAAUGGUCUGGUUGCGAAUGGUGGUGAGUCAGUUGCUCUGCCGACUUGGAAUGUUUGAUCGCAAAAUUCAAGCGCCGAGCAUGGGGAACAGUGGUGGAGUGUUUCGACGACUGACCCAUCGCGUUAAGAAAUGCUCCACGAGUCUAGAUUCACUGACCGACAUAUAACUAUGUCCUACAAUCGAUAUGAUACAGUGAAUCGAGGGGGAGUACAAAUUCUUCCGUUGAUCAUGUCAGAUCCCGAGUCACGUAUACCCACCACCCACACACAAAAAAAAAAAAAAUAUUUCCUCUCCGCUUUCCUGGCCAGCGAGCUGGAAAAUAAUUUCAGCAUCCCUCCAUUUGAAUGGAAGGAAAAACGUCUCGUGGUUACUUCUUAGAUUUACAUGAUAAUUCUAUUUGUAUUUCGCUUUCAUCAAUUUUCCAGAUAAUUGGAAAAGUUGUCUUUUGUCACGUAUUUUUGAGCAAAAUGAACAUACAGAAGACACUGAA